AUCCCUUCUCAGCCCUUUGGCUAAGAUCAAGUGUAGUAUCUGUUCUUAGCGGUUUAAUCAUAAUCUGGGUAAGAAACAAGUCACACAAUGUAGAUUUCACAAAGGGAGGGACACAUUCUUCAAUAUCUUCGGUGAGCACCAGAGAGCUAGAGUCAAGAUACUAAUUAUAGCACUGACAAUGUGUCCUUGGAAUCAUU